UUGGGGAUAUAGCUCAGUGGUAGAGCACUUGUCUCAAAUGUAUGAAACCCUGGGUUCAAUCCCCAGCACCAAA
rnacentral:tRNA from 1 species